GCCGCCCACAAUUCAGAUUCGAAGGAGCAUGGAUGGACCAGGAACCAGGCUUUCCCGCGCGCGCGCUAGAUCCAUGUGACAACUCCAUGCAGCUGGUUUACACACAUACAUGUAGCACAGUGAACGUACUUCAUGUAAUUACGCGACGUUCACAGGUCUCCGAGAAUCGACCUCGACAAAACAUGUAAUUUUGGACACUCUAAGGUUGGACUGACAUCUGAGUCAUACAUGUAGAACAAUUUUCCAGCAGGCAGCUCCAUUCAUUGAUCAAUGUUUGCAGUCAGUCAGGAAAGACGGAAGAAAUCUUAGUCGUCUUACGCUACCAGCUGAUGGUCCUCCCUGGGAUAUGUGCAUACCUCUGUGAUACUGUUCUGCUUAUGUGUUGAGUUAAAGUCGGUCUUAUAUCCAGUGAAGGUGGAUGAGUCAAAGAGUUUGCAGCACUCUCUUCAUGGUGACUGCUGUGAAUGUUUGACAAAUGUACAGCUGCCAGUGGUCAUUUCAAGUGGAGAUCAGCGUGUCAACAGCAGUCUUUUGAAGGGUUCUGCUUCCACUGUGUUUGCCAUUGCUGUAAGAACUACGUCGUAGUUAUCAGUGGUUGUUCAAGUGAAGAUCAACAAGUCAAGAUGUACAGUAUUCUCUUGAAGGUGCAACUGCUGUGAAUGAUUUUGGCAUUGUCUCAACUGUUGUUGCAGCCGCCAUGGUUAUGGCUUGCAUUAUACUACCCGUGUAGAUGCCAUCUGAAUUGUUAAUGGUGCACUGACUUUGAAAGAACAAACUUUGAUUAUAACAAAAAUUCCUGUAACCAUAUCCAAAUUUGCAAAAU
rnacentral:misc_RNA from 1 species